UUCCUGUCCACACAGAGCUUUAACUCGUAGAACUAUAAGGAUCCUCAAACAUCAUUCCUUAAGCCAAGCCCCUGAUCUUGCACUUGAGCCAGCAGAACCAGAUACGGGUUGAAUGAAUCGUCCCAAGUCUCUGGGAGCCCAAGGUCUCCCUUUCCUCUAUUCGGAUUGCAUCUUCAGGCUACCACAGGGUGCUACUUAGAGAACUCGUUGAAGCUGAGGCUUUCAGCCAGCUACCUGGGUGAAGUGGGCUUUGAUGCUUCUUUAAUGAAAUAGUGCCAUAGACUGAAAACGCAAACAUGAGGAUGGCAGGUAAGAUAUUUAUUUCAUUUGUAUUUGCAUUAAUUUGGAAAUAAAUCAUAUUGUUCAUUAAUGAAUAAAAGAUUA
rnacentral:lncRNA from 1 species